GCAAACUUGGUCAUUUAGAGGAAGUAAAAGUCGUAACAAGGUUUCCGUAGGUGAACCUGCGGAAGGAUCAUUAGUGUAAACAGAUUAUAAACACCGGGGUUCGGGUAUGAUGAGGGUCAUUGACUCUGUCAUUCCUUGACCUUGUGUUUGCAAACAAAAACACCCUUAAAAACAGCUUUAUAGUGUCUGAAUCUGACUAGUUUAAUAUAAAAACAACUUUCAACAACGGAUCUCUUGGCUCUUGCAUCGAUGAAGAACGCAGC
rnacentral:misc_RNA from 1 species